rnacentral:rRNA from 1 species
GACAGAGGGUGCAAACGUUGUUCGGAAUUACUGGGCGUAAAGCGCGUGUAGGCGGCUUGGCAAGUCGGGUGUGAAAGCCCUGGGCUCAACCCAGGAAGUGCACUCGAAACUGCUUCGCUCGAGUAUCGGAGAGGAAAGCGGAAUUCUCGGUGUAGAGGUGAAAUUCGUAGAUAUCGAGAAGAACACCGGUGGCGAAGGCGGCUUUCUGGACGAUUACUGACGCUGAGACGCGAAAGCGUGGGGAGCAAACAGG